GCCUGAUGUUGUAGGUCAUGUAAUAAGAGUUUUGGAGACGCGGCACAGUUGAAAUCGUAAAGCGAGCGGCUGCACGAAACGUUCGCUUUGGGAGAAGCACGCACCCUCACAGAUUCCAGUGCUCCUCACAAUGUGACAGCAAGUGCGGUCAUUGCGUGAGAUCUCCUGUUUGUCUGCGCGCGCGUGCCACCAUGCUUGUCUGGUUGACCUUGCGUGGACAGAGGCCGAGAUUCCUUGUUCAAGGCAGAUGUGCAUGAUGGCCUGCGCUAGGGACAAUCAGGACACAAUCGUCAUCGAUGCCGCCUGUGCUGGCUGGGGCCAGUGUACGUGCAAGUUCAAUCCUUGAACACCUGUGGGAUCACCCGAACGUACGACGCUACGCUGGGCAAUUAGUUAUAUCAUAAUUGACGGCUCAUGGCUCCAUGGCAAUGAGUAUUGGUGCUCAUAGUGCAUUAUUGCUAUGGAAUUAAAAGUGGCCUAAUA
rnacentral:lncRNA from 1 species